rnacentral:rRNA from 1 species
AUUGAACGCUGGCGGCAUGCCUUACACAUGCAAGUCGAACGGCAGCGGACCUUCGGGUGCCGGCGAGUGGCGAACGGGUGAGUAAUGCAUCGGAACGUGCCAUUGAGUGGGGGAUAACGUAGCGAAAGUUACGCUAAUACCGCAUAUUCUGUGAGCAGGAAAGCAGGGGACCGCAAGGCCUUGCGCUCUUUGAGCGGCCGAUGUCAGAUUAGCUAGUUGGUGAGGUAAAGGCUUACCAAGACGACGAUCUGUAGCGGGUCUGAGAGGAUGAUCCGCCACACUGGAACUGAGACACGGUCCAGACUCCUACGGGAGGCAGCAGUGGGGAAUUUUGGACAAUGGGCGCAAGCCUGAUCCAGCCAUGCCGCGUGAGUGAAGAAGGCCUU